rnacentral:rRNA from 1 species
UACACUCCUGCGGGAGGCAGCAGUGGGGAAUUUUGGACAAUGGGCGAAAGCCUGAUCCAGCAAUGCCGCGUGAGUGAAGAAGGCCUUCGGGUUGUAAAGCUCUUUUGUCAGGGAAGAAACGGUGAAAGCUAAUAUCUUUUGCUAAUGACGGUACCUGAAGAAUAAGCACCGGCUAACUACGUGCCAGCAGCCGCGGUAAUACGUAGGGUGCAAGCGUUAAUCGGAAUUACUGGGCGUAAAGCGUGCGCAGGCGGUUUUGUAAGUCUGAUGUGAAAUCCCCGGGCUCAACCUGGGAAUUGCAUUGGAGACUGCAAGGCUAGAAUCUGGCAGAGGGGGGUAGAAUUCCACGUGUAGCAGUGAAAUGCGUAGAUAUGUGGAGGAACACCGAUGGCGAAGGCAGCCCCCUGGGUCAAGAUUGACGCUCAUGCACGAAAGCGUGGGGAGCAAACAGGAUUAGAUACCCCUGUAGUCCCAUG